UCAAACAAGAAAGAGCGCAGGGUGGAUGCCUUGGCACUAAGAGCCGAUGAAGGACGUGAUAAGCUGCGAAAAGCUGCGGGGAGGAGCAAAUAUCCAUUGAUCCGCAGGUAUCCGAAUGGGGAAACCCACCUGGAUAGACUCCAGGUAUCCAUACGCCAAUCCAUAACGUAUGGAAGGGAACCCGGUGAACUGAAACAUCUAAGUAGCCGGAGGAAAAGAAAGAAAACUCGAUUCCCAGAGUAGCGGCGAGCGAAAUGGGAGGAGCCUAAACCAGCGUGCGUGCAUGCUGGGGUUAUGGACUGCAUAAGUUACCAGAAAGGAUAGUGGAAUGGUUUUGGGAAAGCCAGCCAGAGAGGGUGAAAGCCCCGUACACGAAAUCCGGACCGGGACGGCAGGAUCCAGAGUACCACGAGACACGUGGAACCUUGUGGGAAGUCGGGGGGACCACCCCCCAAGGCUAAAUACUCCUUAGUGACCGAUAGCGCAUAGUACUGUGAAGGAAAGGUGAAAAGGACCCCGGGAGGGGAGUGAAAGAGAACCUGAAACCCUGUGUUUACAAGCUGUGGGAGCACCUUAUGAGUGCGACCGCGUACUUUUUGUAGAACGGUCCGGCGAGUUACGCUGGCUGGCGAGGUUAAACGGUAGAGCCGUGGAGCCGAAGGGAAACCAAGUCUUAAGAGGGCGGAAAAGUCAGUCAGAGUAGACCCGAAACCGGGUGAUCUAUCCAUGUCCAGGUUGAAGUUGCCGUAAAAGGCAAUGGAGGACCGAACCCACAUCCGUUGAAAAGGGUGGGGAUGAGGUGUGGAUAGGGGAGAAAUUCCAAUCGAACCCGGAGAUAGCUGGUUCUCCUCGAAAUAGCUUUAGGGCUAGCCUCGAUAGAGUCUUGCGGAGGUAGAGCACUGAAUUUCCUAGGGGGCGUCAAAGCUUACCGAAGAAUAUCAAACUCCGAAUGCCGUGUAGAUGCUUAUCGGGAGUCAGACUAUACGAGAUAAGUUGGAUAGUCAAAAGGGAAAGAGCCCAGACCUCCAGCUAAGGUCCCAAAGUACGUGUUAAGUGGAAAAGGAUGUGGGAUUUCAAAGACAACCAGGAUGUUGGCUCAGAAGCAGCCAUACAUUCAAAGAGUGCGUAAUAGCUCACUGGUCGAGAGGUCCUGCGCCGAAAAUGUCCGGGGCUGAAACACGACACCGAAGCUGAGGAAUGUCUAGAGACAUUGGUAGAGGAGCAUUGGAUACGCAACGAAGCAGUACCGGAAGGAGCUGUGGAGUGUAUCGAAGAGAGAAUGCCGGAAUGAGUAGCGAGAGAGAGGUGGGAAUCCUCUCGGCCGAAUAUCUAAGGUUUCCAGGGUAAAGCUGAUCUGCCCUGGGUAAGUCGGGGCCUAAGGCGAGGACGAGAGUCGUAGCCGAUGGACAACAGGUUGAGAUUCCUGUACUGCAGUAAGACAGAACUGUGGGGACACGUGUGGAGAGCAUAGGCGCGGAAUGGAAAGCCGCGUGCAAGCGAGGUAGGAGUCCUGUAGGAAAAACCGCAGGGCAAUCCGAAGGCGUGAUGCGGACCGAAAUCUAGUAGGGAAGUAUGUGAGCCAUGCGUCAAGAAAAGCCGCUAUUGUUCUUAUUGUACCCGUACCGUAAACCGACACAGGUGGAUGAGGAGAGAAUCCUAAGGCCGACGGAAGAAGCAUUGUUAAGGAACUCGGCAAAAUGACCCCGUAACUUCGGGAGAAGGGGUGCCACAGAAAUGUGGCCGCAGAGAAUAGGCUCAAGCAACUGUUUAGCAAAAACACAGGUCUAUGCAAAACCGAAAGGUGAGGUAUAUGGGCUGACGCCUGCCCGGUGCUGGAAGGUUAAGAGGAGAGGUUAGCGCAAGCGAAGCUUUGAAUUGAAGCCCCAGUAAACGGCGGCCGUAACUAUAACGGUCCUAAGGUAGCGAAAUUCCUUGUCGGGUAAGUUCCGACCCGCACGAAAGGCGUAAUGAUUUGAGCGCUGUCUCGACAAUGCAUCCGGUGAAAUUGAAGUACCAGUGAAGAUGCUGGUUACCUGCGCCAGGACGGAAAGACCCCAUGGAGCUUUACUCCAGCUUGA
rnacentral:rRNA from 1 species